ACCAGAACAACAAGCAAAGGAAAUUUAAACAGCCACCUCCAUAUG
rnacentral:sRNA from 1 species